rfam:Triticum aestivum genome assembly, contig: Triticum_aestivum_CS42_TGACv1_scaffold_322152_4BL
AGAGUACUCCCUCUGUUCGGAAAUAUUUAUCCUAAAAAUGGUUUAAAAUGGAUGUAUCUAUAACUAAAAUAAGUCUAGAUACAACCAUUUCUAGAACAGGUAUUUCCGCACGGAAAGAGUACGUA